rnacentral:tRNA from 1 species
AGAAACUUAGGUUAACCUGAACAUCGAAACCAAAAGCCUUCAAAGCCUUAAAUAAGAGUUAAAUCCUCUUAGUUUCUG